rnacentral:rRNA from 1 species
UACCAGCUCUUCGAGUGGUGUGGAUGUUUAUUGGGCCUAAAGCAUCCGUAGCUGGCUGGGCAAGUCCCCUGUUAAAUCCACCGAUUUAAUCGUUGGAGUGCGGGGGAUACUGUUCGGCUAGGGGACGGGAGAGGCAGACGGUAUUUUCGGGGUAGGGGUGAAAUCCUAUAAUCCUGGGAAGACCACCAGUGGCGAAGGCUGUCUGCUAGAACGCGCCCGACGGUGAGGGAUGAAAGCUGGGGGAGCGAACCGGAUUAGAUACCCGGGUAGUCCCAGCUGUAAACGAUGCAGGCUAGGUGUUUGGGCGGCCACGUGCCGCUCUAGUGCCGCAGGGAAGCCGUUAAGCCUGCCGCCUGGGGAGUACGGCCGCAAGGCUGAAACUUGAAGGAAUUGGCGGGGAGCACCACAAGGGGUGAAGCUUGCGGUUU